CCUGGAGAUAUUUAAAAGACAUGUAGACAUGGUGCUUAGGGGCAUGAUUUAGUGGUGGAGUUGGUAGUGUUAGGUUAACAGCUGGACUUGAUGAUUUUAAGGGU